ensembl:lncRNA
CCAGAGAGCAGUGAUUGGUCAGACCAUAGAUAAUAUAGAAGACAGCGCGCUAGCGUAUCUAGUCUGUGUAUAUCUAUGGUCGGCAGGUCUGGUAGCAUCUGUGGCUGCUGUUGAUCUUGUUUUUGGAGUAAAACACGAUGUUCAGAGGGAGAUGAUGCCACAUCUGGUCCAGCUGAUGGAAGGUCUUGAAGUUCUCUGACUGGCCUCGACUGAAGAUGGUCGUCUCACUGGAUUUAAGGUUCAGAUGCUCAGUAACAAACUCCACCAAUGAGCCAACAGGGAAGCUAUGCACAAGGAGGGACGUCUGCAGAGACUGAGAAAGAGUCUCACCACAUCCUGACAUGAGGAAAAAGACUUUAUUGAAGACUACAAUGAGAAAAACUAUCAGACAGCAGACGGCUGCAUUCAAGAGAGGAAGACCAUCAAACAUCCACGUCAGCUGAUGGAGGUCCAAGAGUCUCACCAAACAACCAACCUACAGAGUGAAGACCUCAAAUCUGAUUGGACGGCCUCCUAUUCAGCCACAUUUUAGGCUGUUAGAUUGUUCCAGAUAAGACAAGUACAAGAUUCUUCAGAGCUGUUCUACCACGAGCCUGACAGGAAGAACUCCAACAGCUACUGAAUGUUCCUGUGGUCCCCUCAAGGCUACAGGAGGAGUCCUACGAGGACGAGUCGGUCCACCUGAUGCAGGCCAGUCACUGCUGUUCAAAGCCAACACAGACUACGUGGACUUCUACUGGACCACAUGGAGGCCUUCAAACCGGACCAACAAGUUCACCGACUCCCCGACUCGUGGGUCUGAGGACGCUGCCGAGCCUCGGUCCAGCCGGCCUCCUGUCUGUGGAUGUUUGAGUGCUGAGAGGUUUGUGGAUGCAUGUGAACAUUCUGUGUUGAAACAGCAGCUUUUAACUCAGUAACGCCAGGAAAAACCAAGAGCUCCUUUAUUUGUGACUUCCACUAAAAAAUUGAUGAAAAUAAGUUUGCCAGGGUUCUGACUGAUAACGGAUUAUUAAAUAAUGAAAGUAAUCGUUUAAAUAUUCCUUUAAACAGUCCUUUUAGGUCUACAUUUCCUUUACACUGACUUCUUGGUACAUGUACAAGUAUUUUGGGUGGAAUAUACCAUUAAGCCUGAUGUUCAAGGGUUCUUCUGGGAAUAUACCAUUAAACCAACAUUUUAGGUAAAUGUUCCAGGAUGUUGGGUAGAAUAUACCAUCAGAUCAACCUUUUAGGUCUACAUUGGAAGAUUUUGGAGUAGAAUAUUACUCCAAACCAUCCUUUAGGUCUACAUUUAAGGUGGAAUACUCCUUUACACCAAGAUUUUUUGGUCUAAGAUUUUGGAUGGAAUACUCGGUUAAACCAACAUUUUAGGUGCAUGUCCAAGGAUUUUUGGUGGAAUGUUCCUUUAAGGUGGAUGUUUGAGGACCUUGUAGGUGGAAUACUUCCUGAAACCAACCUUUUAGGUCAACAUUCAAAGAUUUAAGGUGGAAUAUUCCUUUAAAUCAACCUAAAUUUCAUAUUUUGUUCAUUAUCAAGUGAGAAACCUCAAUCCAGACUCCUCAUAAUGACGUUUGAGAUUUAUGCUGCUGUUAUUUGUUUAGUCCAGACUAAAUGACAGAAAUCCACAACUGUAAUUUAUUUCAGGACUCGGUUAUUAAAUGUCAAAACAAUCCAUGUGACUCUAAAAACUCAACAGCUGUACAAACUCUAAGAUUAAACUCUCUACAAGGAUCCAAAAUAAGUUGGACUUCUACAUGAGAGCUUUAAUUAUUCUUCAUCUACUUCCUGAAAAGUUUGGUCAAUAAAAAAGACAAAAACUAAUAUUUUCAGCUGAACUAAAGACAGACUGUGAU